rnacentral:rRNA from 2 species
AGAGUUUGAUCCUGGCUCAGAGCGAACGCUGGCGGCAGGCCUAACACAUGCAAGUCGAGCGGGCACCGCAAGGUGUCAGCGGCAGACGGGAGAGUAACACGUGGGAACGUGCCCUUUGGUUCGGAACAACUCCGGGAAACUGGAGCUAAUACCGGAUAAGCCCUUACGGGGAAAGAUUUAUCGCCAAAGGAGCGGCCCGCGUCCGAUUAGCUAGUUGGUGAGGUAAUGGCUCACCAAGGCGACGAUCGGUAGCUGGUCUAAGAGGAUGAUCAGCCUCACUGGGACUGAGACACGGCCCAGACUCCUACGGGAGGCAGCAGUGGGGAAUAUUGGACAAUGGGCGCAAGCCUGAUCCAGCCAUGCCGCGUGGGUGAUGAAGGCCCUAGGGUUGUAAAGCCCUUUCGGCGGGGAAGAUAAUGACGGUACCCGCAGAAGAAGCCCCGGCUAACUUCGUGCCAGCAGCCGCGGUAAUACGAAGGGGGCUAGCGUUGCUCGGAAUUACUGGGCGUAAAGCGCACGUAGGCGGUCUUUUAAGUCGGGGGUGAAAUCCUGGAGCUCAACUCCAGAACUGCCUUCGAUACUGGAAGACUCGAGUCCGGGAGAGGUGAGUGGAACUGCGAGUGUAGAGGUGAAAUUCGUAGAUAUUCGCAAGAACACCAGUGGCGAAGGCGGCUCACUGGCCCGGUACUGACGCUGAGGUGCGAA